CCUACGGGAUGCAGCAGUGGGGAAUAUUGGAUAAUGGCGAAAGCCUGAUCCAGCAAUGCCGCGUGUGUGAAGAAGGUCUUCGGAUUGUAAAGCACUUUCGACGGGGACGAUGAUGACGGUACCCGUAGAAGAAGCCCCGGCUAACUUCGUGCCAGCAGCCGCGGUAAUACGAAGGGGGCUAGCGUUGCUCGGAAUGACUGGGCGUAAAGGGCGCGUAGGCGGUUUAUGCAGUCAGAUGUGAAAUCCCCGGGCUUAACCUGGGAACUGCAUAUGAGACGCAUAGACUAGAGGUCGAGGGAGGGUUGUGGAAUUCCCAGUGUAGUGGUGAGAUUCGUAGAUAUUGGGAAGAACACCGGUGGCGAAGGCGGCAACCUGGCUCGAUACUGACGCUGAGGCGCGAAAGCGUGGGGAGCAAACAGGAUUAGAUACCCGCGUAGUC
rnacentral:rRNA from 1 species